rnacentral:lncRNA from 1 species
GGGAGGAGGAGGACGGAGGAAGUUUCUGCGCCGAGUCCUCCGUCGGGAAAACUCUACCAACUUCCCCAGGGGAAGGGAAGACAACAGUGUCCCAGCUUCCCGAGCUUAGACCGCCUCACCCCGUAGGGGGUGGGGCAGUGGGGGUCUGCCACCUUCACCCUCCCCGCCCGAGUUACGUACGCCCCACAAACCUGAGGCCGCCAGGGGUAGGGUGGAGGGGGCGGGGGUAAGCAGCC